rnacentral:rRNA from 1 species
AUGACUAACAAGGCCGCCACCGCCAGCAUCAUCGCCGCCGUGGGCGUUGUGGCCGUCAUCGGCACGAUCGCCGCGGUCACCACGUCCAAGAAGGCCAGCGAGGAUGGUGGCAACAUGUCCACCAGCAUCAAGCUCUCCCAGCUCUGCUCUUCCACGCUGUACCCGGCCAAGUGCGAGAACAGCCUCACCCCCGUCGUCAAUGAGUCUUCCAACCCGGAGGAGGUCCUCCGCGCCGCGCUCCAGGUGGCCAUGAACGAGGUCGGCGCCGCCUUCGCCAAAUACAGCGACGUCGGCAAGGGCGCCACCGACAAGAUCACCUUGAGCGCCAUCGGCGAGUGCAAGAAGCUGCUCGACGACGCCAUCGUGGACCUCAAAGACAUGGCCGGCCUCAGGGCCGACCAGGUCGUCGUCCAGGUCAACGACCUCAGGGUCUGGAUCUCCGGCGUCAUGACCUAUAUCUACACCUGCGCCGAUGGCUUCGACAAGCCGGAGCUCAAGAAGGCCAUGGACAAGCUGCUGACGAACUCCACCGAGCUCAGCAGCAACGCCCUGGCUAUCAUCACCCGCGUCGGCCAGUUCCUGCAUCAAGGGCAGGACGCCAAGAGUGGCUCCACUGUCGGAGGGAGCCGCCGACUUCUCGGGUGGUACAUGGGUGACGCGCACGACGUGGAAAGCAGGCGCCACCUUCUAGCUAUCAAUGGCAGGCUGGAUGAGAUCGCAGUCGUGAGAGACGCGAGCCGGCGCCUCCUGUCAGAGACGAUGGACGAGGAGGAUCAGAGGGUGCUGGCGACGGAGGUUGUCGGCACGAUCGAAGACCUGCCCAACAACCACCGCCGCAAGCUGCUGUCCGCCGGCAUCUUCCCGGAGUGGGUGUCGUCCCACACCCGGAGGCUCCUCCGGAUUCCCGGCGGGCUGCAGAAGCCCAACGCGGUGGUGGCCGCGGACGGGAGCGGCAACUUCAAGACCAUCACGGAGGCCCUCAACUCCGUGCCCAAGAAGUCCACCGCACGCUUCGUCAUCUAUGUCAAGGCCGGCGAGUACAAGGAGUACGUCACGGUCAACAAGGACCUGGCCAACGUCUUCAUGUACGGCGACGGGCCCACCAAGACCCGGGUCAUCGGCGAUAAGAGCAACAAGGGAGGCUUCGCCACCAUUGCCACCCGCACCUUCUCGGCGGAGGGGAACGGGUUCAUCUGCAAGUCGAUGGGAUUCGUGAACACGGCGGGGCCGGACGGGCACCAGGCGGUGGCGCUGCACGUGCAGGGCGACAUGUCGGUGUUCUUCAACUGCAGGUUCGAGGGGUACCAGGACACCCUGUACGUGCACGCCAACCGGCAGUUCUUCCGCAACUGUGAGGUGCUGGGCACCAUCGACUUCAUCUUCGGCAACUCGGCGGCGGUGUUCCAGAACUGCCUCAUGACGGUGCGGAAGCCCAUGGAAAGCCAGGGCAACAUGGUGACCGCGCACGGGCGCACGGACCCCAACAUGCCCACCGGCAUCGUGCUCCAGGGGUGCAAGAUCGUGCCAGAGGACGCGCUGUUCCCCGUCAGGCAGACGGUCCCCAGCUACCUCGGACGGCCGUGGAAGGAAUACUCGAGGACGGUGGUCAUGGAGAGCACCAUCGGCGACCUCAUCAAGCCCGAGGGGUGGUCGGAGUGGAUGGGUGACUUCGGGCUCAAGACGCUCUACUACGCCGAGUACGCCAACACCGGGCCCGGCGCCGGGACAAGCAAGAGGGUGACCUGGCCGGGGUACCGUGUCAUCGGACAGGCCGAGGCCACGCAGUUCACCGCCGGCGUGUUCAUCGACGGCAUGAGCUGGCUCAAGAACACCGGCACGCCUAACGUCAUGGGCUUCAUCAAAUGA